CCUACGGGGUGCAGCAGUGGGGAAUAUUGCACAAUGGGCGCAAGCCUGAUGCAGCCAUGCCGCGUGUAUGAAGAAGGCCUUCGGGUUGUAAAGUACUCUCAGCGAGGAGGAAGGCGUUAAGGUUAAUAACCUUGGCGAUUGACGUUACUCGCAGAAGAAGCACCGGCUAACUCCGUGCCAGCAGCCGCGGUAAUACGGAGGGUGCAAGCGUUAAUCGGAAUUACUGGGCGUAACGCGCACGCAGGCGGUCUGUCAAGUCGGAUGUGAAAUCCCCGGGCUCAACCUGGGAACUGCAUUCGAAACUGGCAGGCUAGAGUCUUGUAGAGGGGGGUAGAAUUCCAGGUGUAGCGGUGAAAUGCGUAGAGAUCUGGAGGAAUACCGGUGGCGAAGGCGGCCCCCUGGUCAAAGACUGACGCUCAGGUGCGAAAGCGUGGGGAGCAAACAGGAUUAGAUACCCCUGUAGUC
rnacentral:rRNA from 1 species